AACAAAAGAGAGAGAGAGAGAGAGAGAGAGAGAGAGAGAGAGAGAGAGAGAGAGAGAGAGAGAGAGAGAGAGAGAGAGAGAGAGAGAGAGAGAGAGAGAGAGAGAGAGAGAGAGAGAGAGAGAGAGAGAGAGAGAGAGAGAGAGAGAGAGAGAGAGAAUGGUACCUUGUGUUCUUAAACUUGUGUUCUUAAGUUUCAUUAUUAUUAUAUUUAUCUAAUCCUAAUUUUCUUGAUGUCUCAGUUUACAAAAUUUCUGGUGGUGCAUAAGACUUAAAUGAUAUUGUAAUAUUUCACCAUCUCUUUACCAUAUCUAUAUGUAUUAAGUCAGCAGAUUAUUUAGAUAUUGUGGGAAAACUAUUAUAAAUACUAAUGUUCAAUGAUUAAUAUGUAUGCAGUCAAAAGAAAUGAAUAAUUUUAGUUAUAUAAAAAAGUCUUAUUAAUAAGUUUAUAUGUGUAUAUUAUGUUUAUUGAAUUAUUUUAGUGAACAAACAAAAAUAUUUAAUUUAGCAAAAUUUUUUAUCUGUGUUGGCUAAAUUAAGUAAGGUUGUAUAGUUACGUAGCAAUAUUGAGAAAAGAAGCAAGUGCAAAUUCUUAAAGGGCAAUAUUGAACAAAGAAGCAAGUGCAAAUUCUUAAAAACUUAGAAGAUACUUGAAUUACAACUAUCUGGAAAGUUUGGUAGCUAAAACAUAAAUCCUAGAACAAAAGCAAAAUUCUCCUUACGAGUGAGAGAGAUGAAUCUAGCAAUGCUAAUACAUAAGUGAAUCUAAAGGGUGAAAAUUUCCAGAAAGCAAACUAUAAAGAACAAGCUACAUGAUGAUGAACUACUGAACAAAAACGAUAGAAUGAUAAACUAAGAUGCUAGAACUAAGCAAAGCAAAAAUGAAGAUGAGAUGGAAAUCAAUCAAAGAUAAAUAGCUUUCAGGGAAUAAGGUAAGCAAUCUAUGAAUCCUCCUAAUCUCUAUGGGGUGCUCAAUCAAAACACAAGCAGUGCUAAUCGCUCAACAUUAAGCUUCUAAACCUACUCAGCCAAAUCCCUUGGUGAAGAUUAUCAAACUCGUUACAUUUCCUAAUCUCAUAUCCCUGAUGAAACAUGCAAUGAAUAUGCAGUAUGAAACAUCUUAAUCAUGUCAAAACAUCUCCUAGAAACAUUAUCCCUAAGGCUAAGAAAAUGAAUCUCUCGCAUUAGUUGUUCAUGCAUUUCAUCAAACACCUUCUGGGGCAUGAGGUUCCUGAGAUCUAAUUCUAGUUGAUCAUAAAGAAAUCAGCAUUAACUUCACUAAUCCAGAAGGGAUCUGCAAGAUUCUAGCCCUAAACACCCCCCUAUAGACUAGGAUUCAACACAGAUCUACAUCAUCCCUAAAAGCUAAGAACACUA
rnacentral:lncRNA from 1 species